rnacentral:ncRNA from 2 species
CCAAUAGCGUAUAUUAAAGUUGUUGCAGUUAAAAAGCUCGUAGUUGAACUUCGGGGUUUACCCAUUGGUCAGGCUUAAUUGUCUGUACUGGUGAGAUAAAUCUCUACCUUCUGAGGAACUUUCAUGCCAUUUAUUUGGUGUGAUUGGAAAUCAGGACUAUUACUUUGAAAAAAUUAGAGUGUUUAAAGCAGGCUAACGUCUGAAUAUAUUAGCAUGGAAUAAUGAAAUAGGACGGCUUGGUUCUAUUUCGUUGGUUUCUAGGAUCACCGUAAUGAUUAAUAGGGAUAGUUGGGGGCAUUAGUAUUCAAUUGUCAGAGGUGAAAUUCUUGGAUUUAUUGAAGACUAACUACUGCGAAAGCAUUUGCCAAGGAUGUUUUCAUUAAUCAAGAACGAAAGUUAGGGGAUCGAAGACGAUCAGAUACCGUCGUAGUCUUAACCAUAAACUAUGCCGACUAGGGAUCGGACGAAGUUAAUUUUAUAAUGACGCGUUCGGCACCUUACG